rnacentral:rRNA from 1 species
UGACCUCGGAUCAGGUAGGAAUACCCGCUGAACUUAAGCAUAUCAAAAGGCGGAGGAAAAG